UACGUAGGGCGCAAGCGUUAUCCGGAAUUAUUGGGCGUAAAGAGCUCGUAGGCGGCUUGUCACGUCGGGUGUGAAAGCCCGGGGCUUAACCCCGGGUCUGCAUUCGAUACGGGCAGGCUAGAGUGUGGUAGGGGAGAUCGGAAUUCCUGGUGUAGCGGUGAAAUGCGCAGAUAUCAGGAAGAACACCCGUGGCUAAGGCGGCUCUCUAGUACGGUACUGACGCUGAGACGCGAAAGCGUGGGGAGCGAACAGG
rnacentral:rRNA from 1 species